UAACGAAUAUUCCGCAAUGGGCGAAAGCCUGACGGAGCGACGCCGCGUGGAGGACGAAUUCCUUCGGGAUGUAAACUCCUUUUAGGUGUAAGAAAACGAAGCGCGCUAAUAUCGCGCCAGUUGAUCUAUGCCAGAAAAAGCAUCGGCUAACCCCGUGCCAGCAGCCGCGGUAAUACGGGAGAUGCAAGCGUUGUUCGGAAUCACUGGGCUUAAAGCGCGUGUAGGCGGCUUGGUAAGUACUUUGUGAAAUCCCUCGGCUCAACCGAGGACCUGCAAGGUAUACUGCCGAGCUUGAGGCAGGUAGGGGUCACUGGAACUCUAGGUGGAGCGGUGAAAUGCGUAGAUAUCUAGAGGAACGCCCGUGGCGAAAGCGGGUGACUGGGCCUGCCCUGACGCUGAGACGCGAAAGCGUGGGUAGCAAACGGGAUUAGAUACCCCCGUAGUCC
rnacentral:rRNA from 1 species